rnacentral:rRNA from 1 species
UACGGAGGUGGCAAGCGUUGUUCGGAAUUACUGGGCGUAAAGCGUGCGCAGGCGGCGCGUUAAGACAGGUGUGAAAGCCCCGAGCUUAACUUGGGAAUUGCGCUUGUGACUGGCGUGCUGGAGUGUGGCAGAGGGAGGUGGAAUUCCACGUGUAGCAGUGAAAUGCGUAGAGAUGUGGAGGAACACCGAUGGCGAAGGCAGCCUCCUGGGCCAGCACUGACGCUCAUGCACGAAAGCGUGGGGAGCAAACAGG